rnacentral:rRNA from 1 species
CGGACGGGUGAGUAACGCGUGGGUAACCUGCCUCACACUGGGGGAUAACAGCUAGAAAUAGCUGCUAAUACCGCAUAAGCGCACGGUUCCGCAUGGAACAGUGUGAAAAACUCCGGUGGUGUGAGAUGGACCCGCGUCUGAUUAGCCAGUUGGCGGGUAACGGCCCACCAAAGCGACGAUCAGUAGCCGGCCUGAGAGGGUGAACGGCCACAUUGGGACUGAGACACGGCCCAA